rnacentral:rRNA from 1 species
GUGCCAGCAGCCGCGGUAAUACGUAGGUGGCAAGCGUUGUCCGGAUUUAUUGGGCGUAAAGGGCGCGCAGGCGGUUCGUUAAGUUCGAGGUGAAAUCUCCUGGCUCAACUGGGAGGGGUCUUCGGAUACUGGCGGACUUGAGGAGAGCAGAGGUGAGUGGAAUUCUGGGUGUAGUGGUGAAAUGCGUAGAUAUCCAGAGGAACACCAGUGGCGAAGGCGACUCACUGGGCUCCACCUGACGCUGAGGCGCGAAAGCGUGGGGAGCGAACCGGAUUAGAAACCCCAGUAGUCC